rnacentral:lncRNA from 1 species
CUGGGGGAACCGACAGCGGCCGCAGGCCCAGAGCGCGGUCACGUGAGCUGCGCCGCCGACGAGCCUGGGACGGAGCGAAGCGGCGCGGCGGCCGCUAGGGGGAGCGCGGGAGCGUCGAGUCGGGGGCGGGGAGCCCUGGGCGCCUGGGCUCGGCACAGCGCGGUGCGGCUGGACUCCGGGCGCGGGUGGCGCGGCAAAACUCCGGGCGCAGGUGGCGCGGCUGAGAGGGGCGCGCAGCUCGCGAAAUGCCCGGCGUCAAAGGCCUUCGGAGACCAAAGUCUCCGCGGACCGCUGGCUGGAGCCCAAAGCCGGCCGGACCUCCUCCCCGCGUCUCCCCUUUCGCGGCUCGGAGAGGAAGGCAAGGGAGCCCCCAAAUAUCAUUCCCUUCCCUCCCCCUAUGGAAACUGAUGCUGAAAGAGCCAGCGAGAGAAAGAAAAAAAAAAGUCGCGGAGAGGGGCGGCCCAAGCGACCGAGGGCACCGGGCAGCGCCAGCGACAGAGGGAAAUUAGUCGAGGGGACAGAGAGACAAGCCCCCUGAACUUAGGAAACUCUGAAGCAUGGAGCUGGAGUCCAGAAAAUGACUCCAAUGACAACUGCUCCGGAUCUGUGCCAGGAGCCACGCCCCGGGCUGCCACGCCCGGAGGGAGGGGCGCCCUAAGACCUGUAGCGUGGAAUCCGCACUGGGAAAGCCUCAGUAAACUCCAGAACGCAACUACUGCACGUUCCAAUGUCCCGCCACCUUCCCAGUGCCCCAGCUAGGACUUCGAUCACCUCAGCAAGAACUUACCUCUCCUUUGCAGUGGAAAAGAGGGAAUCCUGCCUAAAACCUACUUCACGGUGUUAAAUAAAUGGGAUCUCAUGGCCGAGCGCGGUGGUUCACACCUGCAGUCCUAGCACUUUGGGAGGCCAAGGGUCCCGGAGAGAACAAAAACAGAGAGGUAACUAUGUCAAGCUAUCUGCUGGAGCUGGGACACAUUCUUCCUCUCCUGUCCUUGGACAACAACUCCAGGCUCCCCAGCCUUCAAACUCCAGGACUUCUCCCCUCUCCUCCACCCUUCCUGGCUUCUCAGGCCUUUGGCCUUGAACUGAGAGCUACACCAUCAGAUUCCCUGAUUCUGAGGCCUUCGGGACUUGAAUUGAGCCAUACUACCAGCCUCCCAGGGUCUCCAGUCUGCAGACGACCUGUUUUGGGACUUCUUGCCAAUUUCCCUAAUAAAUAAACUCCAUUUCGUCUUUCUC